ACCUCGGAUCAGGUAGGGAUACCCGCUGAACUUAAGCAUAUCAAUAAGCGGAGGAAAAGAAACCAACAGGGAUUGCCUCAGUAACGGCGAGUGAAGCGGCAACAGCUCAAAUUUGAAAGCUAGCCUUCGGGUUCGCAUUGUAAUUUGUAGAGGAUGCUUUGGGUAAAACGCCAGUCUAAGUUCCUUGGAACAGGACGUCAUAGAGGGUGAGAAUCCCGUAUGUGACUGGAAAUGUUAACCUAUGUAAAGCUCCUUCGACGAGUCGAGUUGUUUGGGAAUGCAGCUCUAAAUGGGAGGUAAAUUUCUUCUAAAGCUAAAUAUUGGCGAGAGACCGAUAGCGCACAAGUAGAGUGAUCGAAAGAUGAAAAGCACUUUGGAAAGAGAGUUAAAAAGCACGUGAAAUUGUUGAAAGGGAAGCGCUUGCAAUCAGACUUGUUUAAACUGUUCGGCCGGUCUUCUGACCGGUUUACUCAGUUUGGACAGGCCAGCAUCAGUUUCGGCGGCCGGAUAAAGGCUCUGGGAAUGUGGCCUCCACUUCGGUGGAGGUGUUAUAGCCCAGUGUGUAAUACGGCCAGCCGGGACUGAGNUCCGCG
rnacentral:rRNA from 1 species